CCUGAAAUGUCCCUAUUGAGAGAGCUAAACCCUCGUCUUGACGGACUGAGCCCCCUUGCCAGGUAUCCUCUCGUCCCCUCCCUCUCUUUAGGAGGCACCCAGCUUCUUUCAUUAUUUUAAGCUUCCUAUUACAGAAAUGUUUAAACAUGCACAGGAGCAGUGGAACUUCCCAUGUAGCCCUCACCCCACUUUCACAGUCAUCAUCUGGCACGUGUGAUACGGCCCGUCUCUAGUCAAUGAAUAGCACUUUGUUUAGGCUCCACAUAUUUGUGUCUUUUCCAGCUUUCUCCUUGUGGUUGAUUUCUAGUUUCAUACCAUUGUGGUUGGAAAAGAUGCUUGAUAUCUUUUCAGUGUUCUUAAGUUUAUUGGGAGUUGUUUUGUUUCCCAACAGUGUAUCUUUGAGAAUGUUUCAUGUGUACUUGAGAGAAAACGUAUAUCCUGCUGCUUUUGGAUUGAAUAUUAUAUAUGUAUCUAUUGAAUUCAUCUGGUCUAGUGUUUCAUUUAAGGUCAACGUUUCUUUGUUGAUUUUUCUCUCUAGAAGACCUAUCCAUUGAUGUAAGAGGGGUAUUAAAGUUCCCUACUCUUAUGGUGCUGCUGUCAGUUUCUCCCUUUAGGUCUGUUAAUAGUUGUUUUAUAGACUUUGGUGCUUCCACGUUAGGUGCAUAUAUAUUAAUAAAUGUUAUGUCUUCUUGAUGGAUUAUCCCCUUUAUCAUUAUAUAAUGCCCAUCUUUGUCUCUUGCCUUUUUUUGGCUUGAAGUCUAUUUUGUCUGAUAGAAUUAUGGCUACGCUCGCUUUCUUUUGGUUGUCAUUUGGUUGGAGUAUCAUCUUCCACCCCUUCACUCUGAGCCUAUGUUUUUCCUUAGAGCUGAGAUGGGUCUGCUGGAGGCAGCACACUUUUGGGUCUUUUUCUUAACCUGUCCAGCCUCUCUGUCUUUUCAUUGGUGCAUUGAAUCCCUUUACAUUUAGGAUGAUUAUUGAUAUAUAGGGACUUACUAUUGCCAUUUUAUCUUUUGUUUUAUGGUUGCUCUAUAUUUCCUUUCUUUCUUUGUCCUUGUGUUUCUCACUACAAUUUCAGCUUGAUGGUUUUUGGUGAUGUGUUUUUCAGUUUCCUCUUUUUUUAUGUUUUGUGACUCUGCCCUGAAUUUUUGUUUUGUGGUUACCAUGAGGUUUGUAUAAAAGGUCUCACAGAUGAGAUAGUUCUUUUUCUGCUGAUAGCGUUUAUGCUUCAUUUGACUAGGCAAGUUCUGUCCUUUUCUUCUUCCCUUGCUGUUUUUGUUGUCAAAAUUAUUUCUUUCUGUAUUGUGAAUUUGUUACCAAAUUGGAAUGGUUAUUGUUAUUUUUAAUGCAUUCUUUCCCUUUAACCUUUACAUCAUAAUUGUUUACUAACAUGUUCUGAUACCGAGUUGCAGUUUUCUGAUUUUAUCUGUUUAUCAGCUUGUUUCAAGCUUUGUAUCCUUUGCCUUUUCAUUUCAGACAGGAGAGCUCUUUUUGACAUUUCUUAUAAGGCAGGUCUAGUGGCGAUGGACUCCCUCAGUUUUUGUUUCUUCCUCACACUUUAUUUCUCAGCUGCAGCAGUGGACCCCCAGCUGUCGCAGCACCCAAGGGCACAGAGCUGAUUAUUACAGUGUUGAUUAAUACAGUCCCUAAGUAGCUCUCGAAUACUUGUACUUUUCUGCAUCCUUUCUGAAACCACCCUAGUCGAAGUAAGCAACCAAGUAACUGGAUGACUUUAAUGACCUCAUGUCUCUGAUCCUCAAUUUCUUGGUUUGUGAAAUGAGGCAGUUAGAAGGAACACCAAGUUUCUUCCUUCUCUAUAUUCUGUGAUUAUCAGAAUCUACAACUAUGGAGAGACUCAGGGAAAAAUCAAUUCCAGUGCUUUGGGAAACCAUCUCACUUUCUCCAUUUAAAUUAACUCUUGGGGUGACUGAGAUUGUGCCUCCUAUCCUCUCAUAGCACUGCUCUUAAGGACAGUCUCAGAAUCUUCAGGGCAACUUAAAAGAAGGCCCUUUCUCUUAAAUAGGAAUCUGCCUUAUGCCAUGUUUUGAGCUGUAGAAAAUAUUUUAGCAUGAGAGUCUAGCGUUGGUAACAAAUUUACCCACAUUGUUAAUUCAUCUGAAAGCUCCUGUUCUUGAAAAUGUCCCAUGUGGGGGUAAAGAAGUUCCAUGUAAAGGUUUAGUCCAUUUUUGUUGACAAUCUCUUGAGUGUAUGUUAAAAACCUGGAUAACAGGAAAAUGUUAAUGGAGCUUGGAGGGAGGGACAGUGAUGAAUGAGUUUGGUUGAUUUUCAGCAGUAGUAAGGUCAAAAUGAAAGCAGGAUAAAAGAAGAGUAGAGAUUUAGGUCAGGGCUUUCUAUGACAAAAAAGUAAAAACCAUAAGCAGAUGGAAAAAGUUUAAGUGACACAGUAUGACAGAUUCCACUGAUGAGUUUAAUAGGCAGCCAUUUCAGUCGCAGAGAGAGUAGACUGAAAA
ensembl:lncRNA